rnacentral:rRNA from 1 species
AGCUGUGACGUUACUCGCAGAAGAAGGACCGGCUAACUCCGUGCCAGCAGCCGCGGUAAUACGGAGGGUCCGAGCGUUAAUCGGAAUUACUGGGCGUAAAGCGUACGCAGGCGGUUUGUUAAGCGAGAUGUGAAAGCCCCGGGCUCAACCUGGGAACUGCAUUUCGAACUGACAAACUAGAGUUUUGUAGAGGGUGGUAGAAUUUCAGGUGUAGCGGUGAAAUGCGUAGAGAUCUGAAGGAAUACCAGUGGCGAAGGCGGCCACCUGGACAAUAACUGACGCUCAUGUACGAAAGCGUGGGGAGCAAACGGGAUUAGAUACCCCGGUAGUCCACGCCGUAAACGAUGUCAACUAGCCGACUGGCGCCUUGAGCGCUGGGUGGCGCAGCUAACGCAUUAAGUUGACCGCCUGGGGAGUACGGCCGCAAGGUUAAAACUCAAAUGAAUUGACGGGGGCCCGCACAAGCGGUGGAGCAUGUGGUUUAAUUCGAUGCAACGCGAAGAACCUUACCUACUCUUGACAUCCACAGAAUUCGCUAGAGAUAGCUUAGUGCCUUCGGGAACUGUGAGACAGGUGCUGCAUGGCUGUCGUCAGCUCGUGUUGUGAAAUGUUGGGUUAAGUCCCGCAACGAGCGCAACCCCUAUCCUUAGUUGCCAGCACGUAAUGGUGGGA